GUCAACUACGAAACUUUUUGUCCACUACGAAACGGAUUUGUCACCUACGAAACGCAUCAAAAUGUCCACUACGUAACACGAGUUGUACCUUCAUAUGUGAAGUACUGUCUAAUCUUUAUCGAUAAAAAAUGGUUCUCCAAUUCAGAAAAAAAAUAGAUUUUCCUAGUAUAUAAAGUAAACAAACUUGAAUGUCUAUAGGAAACAUUUAAAAUUAUGUGUGUUUAGAAGCAGUUUCGUAGGGGACAAAAGUCCCCUACGAAACAGUACUCAAAUUAUGAAAAAAAUAUCAUUUUAAGGAGUAUUUAAGAUUGCACUUUUUGUUUACAAACAGGUCUAUAAUAGAGGUAUUCAAAAUAACUCUUGAAAUUAAAUUUUAGACAAGUUGAUUUUCCAUUUUUUUAGGUCUGAAAUAUACGCUUUUAUUGAAAAACGCCC
rnacentral:lncRNA from 1 species